rnacentral:rRNA from 1 species
UACGUAGGGUGCAAGCGUUGUCCGGAAUUAUUGGGCGUAAAGAGCUCGUAGGCGGUUUGUCGCGUCUGCUGUGAAAACCCGAGGCUCAACCUCGGGCCUGCAGUGGGUACGGGCAGACUAGAGUGCGGUAGGGGAGAUUGGAAUUCCUGGUGUAGCGGUGGAAUGCGCAGAUAUCAGGAGGAACACCAAUGGCGAAGGCAGAUCUCUGGGCCGUUACUGACGCUGAGGAGCGAAAGCAUGGGGAGCGAACAGG